CUUAUGAAUAUCUUAUAUAAUAUCACUUUUGAGAGGUACGGAAUGCUUGUAUGUGACCUUGAACUUCAUGGAAGCAUUUGGCGUACAUCUAAAAAGUUAUAUUUAUUUCCCAAUAUCCCUCAG
rnacentral:precursor_RNA from 15 species